UUGCUUACUUCAUUUAGCAGCACAUACACUAAAAUUAGAAUGAUACAGAGAUUAGCAUGGUCCCUGAACAAGGAGCGAAAAAAAAAUCAAACACUGACUCUGCCUUCUA